rnacentral:rRNA from 1 species
UGCUUGGCGACCAUAGCGUUUUGGACCCACCUGAUUUCCAUGCCGAACUCAGAAGUGAAACGAAAUAGCGCCGAUGGUAGUGUGGGGGUUUCCCCCCCAUGUGAGAGUAGGACAUCGCCAGGCUU